GUGAUGAACAACUGUGUUUUGGACUAGAGUUUCUGAUACUGCUACAUCGUGGUAGUAGUUGAAGACCAAACCCUUGGCUGUCUGAACUCAAAUCUCGCAAAUCAGCUGUAGCGUUGUCAUCUUUAGAGUUCAGAUUAGGUUUGUCUUUCUAAUUCUAGUUAUUAGAUGCGUCCAUUACCAAUUCUGGAGGAUUUUUUUCGUUUCUCUCGGUAUAAUGGCUCGGACGCGACAUUCGAUUCUUGUGGUUAUAUCCUGAUUGGUGGCGUUUUUGGUGCCAAUCCGAUCCUGGAAAGGCCACGAAAAUUCAAUCACAUGUGAAUUUGUUUUUUAUUUUUUAAGUUUGUGGGAUCUAAAGGAUGUGAAAAUUUGAAAGGGACAACGCCUUAUCUGUUAGAUUGUGGCGUACCAUGACAAUUCUUUCAUAUUGAAUAGGAAGAUCUGAUAGAUCCCUGAAACUUUUUUUUCCUUUUCCUUUUUUCUGUUUUGUUUCUGGACUCUGAUUUGAGGUGUGGAUGAUGAUAACACAGGUAAAAUACAGUUAUCCCUGUCUGAUUCCUUCGCAAAGGGUGCUGAGAAUACUUUAAUCUGACACAUGUUUUCCCUUUCAUUCCCGUUUUUAUAUUAUUAUACGAAGUUCUUUUGGUAGAUCUUGGCCUUUGAUGACCUGAUGGUUACAGAACAGGUAAAUGUUUGCCUGAUAUCUGUUGAUAUUUCUCAUGAACUAGGACGGUCUGAGGUCGUUUGAUCAUGCAUGUACUUUGCUGCACAUUUGCUUGUUGGUACUUUUAUUUUUGCUUCUGUGGUUGCAUGAACGGAUUUGAUUUGCGAAUGAGAUGGCUGUGACGACUCGGAAAUAUUCAAGCUCAACAGACCAAAUCACAUGUCUAUCUCUGAAAAUCGAGAUUGAUCUGAGUUUGUUGCGAUGAGGACAAACAAGCUCCCUCUUCUGAAGACAUUGAUGACGCUUGCUGGCAGAAUCGAACCAAUAAACCUGUUGCCAUCACUGAGUAACUAGAUAUCGCAUCCAAUAUAUAGUUUUGAAGUAACUUGAUUUGAGACAGGCUUCUGCUGUGUGAGUGAAGCAGCCAUCUUUGCAUCUGAAGUCUGAACCCAUUAUAUCUUUUGGUUGUAUAUCAGAGUAUGAAACCUCGAUACAAUCUUAGGACACCUUCUGACACAUCGUUUGCUCUGUGAAUGAGAAGUCGAUUCUUUUCUGAUGAUACUAAAUGAUUCCCUCUGGUAUUGCCGUUUGAAAUUUCUUCUUUUCACAGUUUUCUCGUCUUUUAACCAGUUUUAGCAUUUCAUAAAUUAUCCUUUUGACCAUUUCAUAUCAGUUGACAUGGAUAUCACAAUAGAAGCCUAUGAAGAUUAGCGUUACAUCUGGAAUUACCGUCAGAUUUACUUGUGACGACAAUUGCCUGGCUUCCUGAGGCUUAACCAUUACUUAGAUUAGAUGUAAUCUAUAUUUUUUCCAUGUUUCUGUCAUGCUAGGUCAUUCUGUUUCCAGUUUUAGUUAUGCUAUAUUGAUCGUGAUGUUGCAUUUUAUUUAAGUGUUUUUUAUUAUGCAUGUACAGUUGUGUUAUACUUGUCCCAGUGAAGAUCUCAAGACCUACCGAUAGGAAGUGCUGUUUGACACUGUUACCAGCAGCUGCUUCUCUCAUCUGCAGGUGUCCAUCCUUAGACACCUUUGUGGUUUGGCCUGAGGUGGAGUUCCCAUCUGCAGAUGUUUGAUUCAGAUGUGGUGUGUGAUUUAAAUCGGGUCUCUGAGGGAUAGUAUGAAACUAUAUUUUAUUAUGAAACUAUAUUUUAUUUUAUAUUGUAACUUUGUGCAUUAUUUUGCCAGUCUCAUGGGCCUGAUGCCACGUCAACGGUAGCUAUGUGCAUUAACCGGAGAUGCUAUGAUUAGGCCUAAAAAGAGUUGUUUCAAUGUUUCACAUUUUGAUAGGAAUCGGUGGACUGCCUGUCUAUCUGUCCACAGAGCCGGUUUGUGUGAUUACAUUUACAUUUCUUUUUACCCUUUUGUUUUUAUGUGGUGAUGAUGACACAGCUAAGGCUUGUUUCUCAACAUUCGCAGUAGCCGACUAAGAGCUUUCGCCCUGCUAGGCUUGAGAGCUAGUGCUGUUGUUGGUUCCUUCCUUGGAUGUCUGAGCCUUGUUUUCCCACCUUGCAUUUCAUGCUUUAGAACAUUGUUCAAAUUGUCUUACAUCAGUUCUUGUUUGCUAUUCGUGCAUUGCAAAUGAUGAUAAAAUCAAGGCUUGUUUCUCUACAUUCGCAGUUGCUGCCUAAGAGCUUUCGCUCUGCCAGGCUUGAGAGCUAAUGCUGCUAAAUCCUUCCUUGGAUGUCUGAUGCAAUCAUGCAAAUUCAAUAUAUUUCUCUUGUAUUUGUACUAUUGUUCCACUGGUCUCUUCUAGUGUUUUCUUUAUAUUAGUAAUCUGUGACCUAUGCUGGUCCUCUCUUCUCUUUGCAUUUUUUGGUGACUGUCAGUCAUAAUGUAGUCCUGUUCUGCUGUUGUACGAUAUUGGAAGAGCUGAAUUGCUGGAUCAUGGAGUAGAGCUCUAACACCAAAGGAAGCGGAUUCCUCAGGCUUCUAAGAGGAAGGAAAGUAAGGAAACUUUGGGUCGACAGUGCUGUGUAGCAUGAAUCCGUUUUUAUCUUGUUCACGUGUUCAGUAUGUCUGUAUGUGCACGAUUUUAUGUUCAGUUUAAUUUGAUCAGUUGUAUUAGUAUUUGUGCAAGAGUGCUUCCUCGUUAAUGUAAAGACAGUAGCCUUUUGUGAAAUGUCUUGAGCUUAUUUUUACUUCGUACGACACUCAGAUGAUUAUGUAUGUAUUUAAGAAAAUGUUAAGAGAAAUUGUAUGAGAUUGGUAUUGAACUAUUUUGUUAUAUUCA